GUAAAGAGCAAGUAGCACGCUCCAGCGAUUAUCUCGAUGGGCAACUGACCUUUCGUGAACGUUUGAUGGUGCGUCAUCACUUGAUGUUCUGCCCGAACUGCCGGCGCUUUAUCCGUCAGAUGCGCCUGAUGCAGGCGACGCUCAAGCGUAUGCCACAGGAGCCGGUGGAGGGGGCUGAUGCGUUGGCUGAACAGAUGGCAGCCGAGCGCCGUAAGGAUAUGUAGGAGCGAGCAAGCUCGCUCCU
rnacentral:sRNA from 1 species